AACAUCCGUGCCCAUCUUCCUCUACUUUAUACAUGGGACACCUACCACAGCAUGGCUUGACAAGCGGUGCCAUGUCCGCACCCAGGACUGGAACCGGCGAACCCCAGGCCGCCAAGAAGCGGAACGUGCGCACUCAACAGCUGAGCCCAGGUUUUCAUUAGUACAGUUUCUUUCAGUGGCCUUUACCUCUUGGUGUCUCAGUUCACAUCGUGAUUUUCAUUGCUCGUGGCGGAUCCGCACCAAAGCUGAGAGAAUCCAGUCUGCCUGCUGCUUUGUUAGGAAUCUGUGAUGUCACCAAUGGAGACAGGAGAGGAGAUACCACAGCAUUUGAAGCAAGUGGGAAGCAACCUACAAAGAUCAGGACUUCCAGAAGCCCAUGGAAAGGCUGAGAUGCCAGUCAAUGAGGAAUGUUCUAUCCUGGGAGGCAGACCCUUAUGACAUCAGACCAACAUCUGUUAUUCUACUGUCAAUAUUUGAGAAAAUUAAGUGGACAACUGCAUAAUUUUUCCCCUGCUCUGAGUGCUCUGGGACCCACCCGAUCAUCAUUCAGCUUUCAAGUCACGUCAUUCCCUUCUCCUUCUGCCCCACCUCUGGACAAGCUGAUAAGAAAGCCUGUGUGCUUCUUCCUUUGGCGCCAGCAGGAAGCUCAAAUCAUGCAAGCCCCAGAACACAUGAGGGAACAUAGAGAUCCAAGCCACUCACUCCUCUUUGCUCACUCAAGCCAUUUUGGGACCUGCUUGGGAGUUUGCCUUGCUCUCCCUGGAAAGUUUCAUUAUGUGAGUGGUAAAUCUUUU
rnacentral:lncRNA from 1 species